AGUGAACGCUGGCGGUAGGCCUAACACAUGCCAGUCGAACGGCAGCACAGUAAGAGCUUGCUCUUACGGGUGGCGAGUGGCGGGUGGGUGAGGCAUACAUCGGAAUCUACUUUUUCGUGGGGGAUAACGUAGGGAAACUUACGCUACUACCUCAUACGACCUACGGGUGAAUGCAGGGGAUCUUCGGACCUUGCGCGAUUGAAUGAGCCGAUGUCGGAUUAGUUAGUUGGCGGGGUAAAGGCCCACCAAGGCGACGAUCCGUAGCUGGUCUGAGAGGAGGAUCGGCGACACUGGAACUGAGACACGGUCCAGACUCCUACGGGAGGCAGCAGUGGGGAAUAUUGGACAAUGGGCGCAAGCCUGAUCCAGCCAUACCGCGUGAGUGAAAAAGGCCUUCGGGUUGUAAAGCCCGUUUGUUGGGAAAGAAAAGCAGCAGGUUGAUACCCCGCUGUUCUGACGGUACCCGAAGAAUAAGCACCGGCUAACUACGUG
rnacentral:rRNA from 1 species